rnacentral:rRNA from 1 species
UACGUAGGGGGCGAGCGUUGUCCGGAUUUACUGGGCGUAAAGCGCGUGUAGGCGGCUGCUUAAGUCGGGUGUGAAAGCCCGGGGCUCAACCCCGGGAUGCCGCCCGAGACUGGGCGGCUUGAGGUCGGAAGAGGGGAGUGGAAUUCCAGGUGUAGCGGUGAAAUGCGUAGAGAUCUGGAGGAACACCCGUGGCGAAGGCGGCUCCCUGGUCCGAUUCUGACGCUGAGACGCGAAAGCGCGGGAGCGAACGGG